GCGCCCUUAGCUCAGCUGGAUAGAGCGUCGGACUACGAAUCCGAAGGUCGCAGGUUCGAAUCCUGCAGGGCGCG
rnacentral:tRNA from 1 species